UAGCUCAGCGGCAUAAGCGCCUGCCUGGCAAGCACUAGGUUGCAGGUUCAAUUCCUGC
rnacentral:tRNA from 1 species